GGUUGUGAGGGCAAUCUGGCUACAACAUCUGUCACCCCAUUGAUCACCAGGAUUAAUUCGGCUGAUCAGGCUGGCUAAGCAGGUGAUUCCUACAUCCCUCACCACUUCAUGUGCAUCCCUCCUGAAGUUGCGCACUUGAUCCAAGAGGACAGCCUUCCCCGAAUAGAGAUGGACUGGUCUUCAGUCGAGGUAUAUGAGUAGCUGCGCUCCCCUGCUAGAAAAUCCCAUUGUUAUAAUUUGCUGUAUCAUACAAGACCUCACCAGAAUUUAUGUCCUUUUAUGCUACUUAUAUAUAUCUGUAUCUUAUA
ensembl:misc_RNA 7SK 7SK RNA